CGAACGGGUGAGUAACACGUGGGUGACCUGCCCUUAGCUCUGGGAUAAGCCUAGGAAACUGGGUCUAAUACCGGAUAUGACUCCAUGACGCAUGUUGUGGGGUGGAAAGCCUUGUGCGGCUAGGGAUGGGCCCGCGGCCUAUCAGCUUGUUGGUGGGGUGAUGGCCUACCAAGGCGACGACGGGUAGCCGGCCUGAGAGGGCGACCGGCCACACUGGGACUGAGACACGGCCCAG
rnacentral:rRNA from 1 species